UUGGUAAAUCUUAACAAUAGCGGUUUCUCAUGUGACAAAUUUCACUUCUGUGUUAUUACAGCUUGAUUUACAGGAACACAAAAACACAAAAUGAAGUAACAGCAAUAUUCAAUGUUAUUCACAACAUAUUAAACACAUCAUUAUGAAGGAAUGUAUCCUAUUUAUUCUAUGUAAAAGAACAUUUGUUUUAUUUGAAUGCCAUGAAAACCAAAUUAAUAAUUCCCAAAGCAUAUUACAUAAAAAUACAAAAAGUAACAAGAAAGCCAAGCAUUGAUAAACACAAAUCGGUAAAGAAUUUAAUAAAUCAAAUACAAGUUGCAGGUUCCCAAAUCUUAAACUGAAUACUAUGAAAUUAUCACAGAUUGAUAUCAAGGCACAGACAUGGAGACUACUAAUCAUUUUCAUAGAUAUGAGUGG